rnacentral:rRNA from 1 species
AGACUUCCCUGAGGAUUUAAUCCUCCUGAAGACCCCAGAGAGACUAUCUGGUUGAUAGGAUGCAGGUGUAAGCACGGUGACGUGUUCAGCCGAGCAUUACUAAUAGGUCGUGAGGCUUGACCAU